ACUUAAUACUGUAGUUUGUUGUAUUAUCAUUGUAAAGAGUGUGUUAAAAACGAAUGUUUUUAAUCUUGUGAUAAAUUUUCAAGAGGAGGUUCAGUAUUGUUACCUGUUGUUGUGGAUGUGUCCGAGUGCUGCUGAGGUGAGCCAAUGGGAGGUGGUUGAGAAUGGGCGACUGAGAGAAACAAGAACAAGAUUUUUUUCUGGAUUUAAUUGCUGUUGUGAUUAUCUGCUAAUAGGAAUUAAUUAUAUAAAGGAAAUAAUAAUUAAUAAUUUAUCUUUAUUCUUUUUAUUGAUUGUUCCUACAAUUAAUUAUGUAAAUAAAGUUUCUUAUUUAAGUUGCCAAGUGGUGCUACGAGUCAGU
rnacentral:lncRNA from 1 species